GACGAACGCUGGCGGCGUGCUUAACACAUGCAAGUCGAACGGUGAAGCUCCAGCUUGCUGGAGUGGAUCAGUGGCGAACGGGUGAGUAACACGUGAGCAACCUGCCCCUGACUCUGGAAUAAGCGCUGGAAACGGCGUCUAAUACUGGAUACGAGAAGGGUCCGCAUGGGCACUUUCUGGAAAGUUUUUCGGUUGGGGAUGGGCUCGCGGCCUAUCAGCUUGUUGGUGAGGUAAUGGCUCACCAAGGCGACGACGGAUAGCCGGCCUGAGAGGGCGACCGGCCACACUGGGACUGAGACACGGCCCAGACUCCUACGGGAGGCAGCAGUGGGGAAUAUUGCACAAUGGGCGAAAGCCUGAUGCAGCGACGCCGCGUGAGGGAUGACGGCCUUCGGGUUGUAAACCUCUUUCAGCAGGGAAGAAGCGAAAGUGACGGUACCUGCAGAAGAAGCACCGGCUAACUACGUG
rnacentral:rRNA from 1 species